UACGUAGGGAGCAAGCGUUGUCCGGAAUCAUUGGGAGUAAAGCGCGCGUAGGUGGCCUCAUAAGUCCGCUGUGAAAGUCAAAGGCUCAACCUUUGAAAGCCGGUGGAUACUGUGAGGCUAGAGUACGGAAGAGGCGAGUGGAAUUCCUGGUGUAGCGGUGGAAUGCGCAGAUAUCAGGAGGAACACCAAUAGCGAAGGCAGCUCGCUGGGACGUUACUGACACUGAGGUACGAAAGCGUGGGGAGCGAACAGG
rnacentral:rRNA from 1 species